GUGUCAGCCGCCGCGGUAAUACAGAGGUCCCAAGCGUUGUUCGGAUUCACUGGGCGUAAAGGGUGCGUAGGUGGCGAGGUAAGUCGGAUGUGAAAGCUCGGGGCUUAACCCCGAAAUGGCAUUGGAAACUACCUGGCUUGAGGGUUGGAGGGGGGACUGGAAUUCUCGGUGUAGCAGUGAAAUGCGUAGAUAUCGAGAGGAACACCAGUGGCGAAGGCGAGUCCCUGGACAACACCUGACACUGAGGCACGAAAGCUAGGGGAGCAAACAGGAUUAGAUACCCGCGUAGUCC
rnacentral:rRNA from 1 species